AGGGAGAUGGGCCACUGGGCUCAGAUCCCAAGUCCCUCCCUCGCCAGCUGUGUGACCAUGAGCACGUCUCUAAGCCUUUCUGAGCCGUGAUUUCCUCAUCUGCAACCUCCCAGGUUUGGCACAGUGAUCAAAAGUGGUAACUAGCAUGUUUAGCAGGCUUUUGAAACUGGAAAGCCUGCUCCUUAUGUGUAAACCAUCAUCAUUAUCUCCCACUGCAGAGAGCCACAGAGCGCUGGAGCCAGGAGGAAACUUCCAGACUUCUCCGGGGCCGGCUGCUUAUCUCAGCAGCAGCAGCCCCACGUCUCCGAGGCAGCAAAGCUCUGAGCUGUCACUUCAAGGUGAUGCCACCUAGCACCCAGAUUUCUGGCCUCUUUUGGAAAUGAGGACUCAGCGGCGCAGGACCUGUCUGUGCGCGCAUCACUGCUCCUGAGCUGGGCCCAUCUCCGCCCUCCCGUAUCCUGGCCAGCGCGGCUCCAGUGUUUUUACAGAAUCAAACAAAUGCUUCGAAGGGCUUAUAAUUCUAAGGGCAUAUCUGAAGCAAG